rnacentral:rRNA from 1 species
UACGUAGGGUGCGAGCGUUGUCCGGAAUUAUUGGGCGUAAAGAGCUUGUAGGCGGUCUGUCGCGUCUGCUGUGAAAAUCCGGGGCUCAACCCCGGACUUGCAGUGGGUACGGGCAGACUAGAGUGUGGUAGGGGAGACUGGAAUUCCUGGUGUAGCGGUGAAAUGCGCAGAUGUCAGGAGGAACACCGAUGGCGAAGGCAGGUCUCUGGGCCACUACUGACGCUGAGAAGCGAAAGCAUGGGGAGCGAACAGG